GUUACUCGUUAUGUUCUCCAUGUAAUGAAUGAGCCAAGAAUGGAGUCCCGAAGAAAGAGAGCGGCGACUUUUUAUAGUGGGAGGUGUUAGUUGCAUCAGCUAAACCCGGACACGUGGGCGGGGCUUAAGCACUGUUGAAGGUUUCGGAGGUGUCUCACGCAACAUGUCGAGGCAUUACACUGUCAGCAGACUGAACAGGAUAAGUGGUCUACAAAUAGAAGGAAGUGGAGGAACAUGCAAAAACGCUGUGAGCGACAGAAAUGAAUUAACAGCAUAUGGAAAGCACAGCGGAAGGCAUCUAUACUUGAUGACGAGAAACUGAAGGAGGAGAAAUCAGCCAUUACUAAUCGGUAGCCGAUCGAUCGGAGCAUCCCUAACGUACAUUAUGCUUGAACAAUGUGGUGACUUCAGCGAGCUGUGGUUGUGAGAACUGUUAGAAGAGCUCCGUGCAUCGUGGGUACACAGACUGGUCCCCACAUGAGAACCACCUGUACCUGUACCACCUGUACCACCUGUACCAUUUAAUAACACACAUCAAAAUCCUGCUUUUACAAAGAUCAAGACUGAUCUCAAAACUGAAACCAGGUAAAUGCAACAAAAUGGAGAGCUGUGAAGCAUACAAGCAUAUUGCAUGUGAGCCUGUCUCCAUGAUGACAUCACUGGGGGAUGUUGGACCCCUUGUGUGACUUCAGUUUCUGCUUGAGGAUGCUCCGCCCGCACCCAGUUGGGUUCAGUUCUGGAGGAGACGUAUGGGCUACUUGAUGAACUUCACCUCCUGAGCAAGGCACUUAUUUGGAGGUGUGUUUGAGCUUGUUAUCUCGUUGCAACCCAGUUUCCCCAAGAGAGGGGCAGCAUUCACGCAACCCCAGACCAUGACUCAACCAACACCAUGCUUGACUGUGGGCAAGACACAAUUAUCUUGCUACUUAUUUGUGUCGCCAGGUAUUUAGACAAUUAUGGCUGUGUUGAGUCAUUUCCCAUGGGUAGUAAAGCUAUACUGCUCUACCAGCUGUGCACUGACUACUCUAAUCAUAAAUUGUUUGCUGAAAUGUGAAGGCUGUACUCUCACUCUAUUGCUGUGUCGAUGGUAAUCAGCAUGUUGGCCACACAGUCAGGAGAUCGGGACGAUCUGGGUUCUAAUCUCCGUUUGGCAUCUGUGUGUAGAGUUUGCAUGUUCUCCCCGUGCGUGCGCGGGGUUUUUCCGGGUACUCUGGUUUCCUCCCACAUUCCAAAAACAUGCAUGUUAGGUUUCUAAAUUAUCCAUAGGUAUUAAUGUGAGUGUGAAUGUUUGUUUGUCAAUAUGUGCCCUGUGAUUGGCUGGCGAGCAGUCCAGGGUGUACCCCGCCUCUCGCCCAAAGUCAGCUGGGAUAGGGUCCGCGACCCCAGUGAGGAUAAGCGGAAUAGAAAAUGGAUGGAUGGA